GGAUUGAUUCAGCUUGUCUAAGCGGUUACGGGAUUCCAAGAGGGUCCGCGGGAACCCCUCGCCGGCUUUGCAAGCCGGAGGUCACCGGUUCGAUCCCGGUACGCUCCA
rnacentral:tRNA from 1 species